AACGAACGCUGGCGGCAGGCCUAACACAUGCAAGUCGAGCGCGCCCUUCGGGGUGAGCGGCGGACGGGUGAGUAACGCGUGGGAACGUGCCCUUCUCUGCGGAAUAGCCUCGGGAAACUGAGAGUAAUACCGCAUACGCCCUUUGGGGGAAAGAUUUAUCGGAGCAGGAUCGGCCCGCGUUGGAUUAGGUAGUUGGUGGGGUAAUGGCGCACCAAGCCGACGAUCCAUAGCUGGUUUGAGAGGAUGAUCAGCCACACUGGGACUGAGACACGGCCCAGACUCCUACGGGAGGCAGCAGUGGGGAAUCUUAGACAAUGGGGGCAACCCUGAUCUAGCCAUGCCGCGUGAGUGAUGAAGGCCUUAGGGUUGUAAAGCUCUUUCAGCUGGGAAGAUAAUGACGGUACCAGCAGAAGAAGCCCCGGCUAACUCCGUG
rnacentral:rRNA from 1 species